rnacentral:lncRNA from 1 species
UGAGACUAUUAGCAACAACUGUGAUUUUGUGAGACCAAUGCCACAAAAAGUGUGGUUCCUUGAAAUUUACUCUUUUGAAAAACUAGUUCAUUUGUUUGAACUAAGAAGGAUCAAAGGAUACACUGAGAGUCACCAUGUUGCAUCUCUACGUACAUCGGCUGCAGUGCACUGAAGGUACGAUGUACUACCAGACUACCAGGUAUAUGGGGCGCUCUAGCCUAAAUAUAGAAAGAAAAAAAAAGGAAAUAGUAUUCCCUCUCUAUAUAAGGAGGCCGGCGAGGCUCUCUGUUUGAUCCACAAAGCAAGCGUGUCGCAGCCUAGAUCGCAGCUAGCUGAGCUAGCACGAUGGCCAUCUUCAUUGCUUGCGUGUCCUCGCUCGUGCUCCUCCUCCUGGUCUCACGCUACGUGUACCAGCUGCUAGGCAACGUUCGCGGCCGUCUUCCUCCUGGGCCGCUGCCGCUCCCGAUCAUCGGCAACCU